rfam:Gossypium raimondii chromosome 1, whole genome shotgun sequence.
UUAGCGGCGCUUUUUAGCGCCACAAAAGGUCUCGCAAAAAAUGUCG